AUUGAACGCUGGCGGCAUGCCUUACACAUGCAAGUCGAACGGCAGCGGACCUUCGGGUGCCGGCGAGUGGCGAACGGGUGAGUAAUGCAUCGGAACGUACCUUUCAGUGGGGGAUAACGUAGCGAAAGUUACGCUAAUACCGCAUAUUCUGUGAGCAGGAAAGCAGGGGAUCGCAAGACCUUGCGCUGAUUGAGCGGCCGAUGUCAGAUUAGCUAGUUGGUGAGGUAAAGGCUCACCAAGGCGACGAUCUGUAGCGGGUCUGAGAGGAUGAUCCGCCACACUGGAACUGAGACACGGUCCAGACUCCUACGGGAGGCAGCAGUGGGGAAUGUUGGACAAGGGGGGCAACCCUGAUCCAGCCAUGCCGCGUGAGUGAAGAAGGCCUUCGGGUUGUAAAGCUCUUUCGGCCGGGAAGAAAUCGCACGGGCUAAUACCCUGUGUGGAUGACGGUACCGGAAUAAGAAGCACCGGCUAACUACGUGCCAGCAGCCGCCGUAAGAC
rnacentral:rRNA from 1 species